ensembl:lncRNA
UACCUGUUUAUUCAAGAAUAAACGGUAUUUCUUUGCUUAUCACACUAGAAUUACGCUCCUGUGGUCUUGACAUCCCCUUCCAGCCAAGACAUCACUGCUGCUUAGAGAAGGUCUGUGUCUUAUCAAUAUUUACAAUCAGUUCAUACUAGUUGCCAUUAGGAGGUAGCACGUUUCUAGUUAGCAGUUUACAGGUUCAAUUUUGGACAUUCACUCUACAAACAUGUACACUCAAUUAUCUGUUGCCUUACAGUGUUCACAACGUAGGUUACUUUCUCCAUAUUUCCUAAAAGCAAGCUAGCCUUGUUGAUUUUAUUGUUUUUGUUGUUUUCUGUUCCCAGAAGUACAUGUCUCAGUGUGUUGCAUUAUUUUCCUAAUUUUCAAGCAGACUGUAGUGAAAGGAAAAACUGCUCCAUCCAUACUACAUGAUAGUUUCUAUGAAUGAAUGAUGCAACACCUACACAGUGCCAUUUUGUUGUUGGGGCACGGGCGAGAUGGGAGGUUUGCAUAAUUUUAGCCCCAAGGUUGCAACAACGGGAGUAUUAACUACUCAGAUCCAGGUUCCUUCUAUAAUAUUAUUUUUUCACUUUGUUAAUAAAACCCUAAUAUUUGUAUUUAAGAAAAGGGGCUUGAGAAGUGCUGUCUUAGAACAACAUGACCCUGAUAUAGCCUAUAUCUAACUACUUGAUGUUCCAUCUUAGCAUCUCAUUAGCAUUGCAAGCUUGUUUUGCACUUGAUUUCCCAGGAAAUAGGAAGUUUAAUGUUGAAAGACUUCAUGUCUACCAGUUCUGUCCUCUGGAGUGCUUAGAAAUUACUUUUUUUCUGGGGACUGAUUCCUUUCAAGGUCUGUGAUAUUGGUACUGUGAUAACUACUCAGACAAAACUUGCUUUUCCUUCAACAGACAUCAAAGGCAAUUUGACCUAACUUACUUUUUGAGGAUUUGACUUGGAAAUACAGAUGACCAACUUGAAAUACCCAGAGGAUAACGUCUAUCAUGCUGCGGUUUGGCCAGCACCUCAUCAAGCCCUCCGUGGUCUUCCUGAAGACCGAGCUUUCCUUUGCUCUCGUGAACCGCAAGCCGGUGGUCCCGGGCCGUAUCCUUCUGACCAGUGCCUUGACCAUGGGCACCUGCACGCCCUGGGAGAAGCAGGGAAGCUCGGUGUGCUCCUGAGGCCAGUAGGUGCUCAGAAGAAAAGGCAGGCACCUGCUUCAUUUCCCCUCUUUUCCCUUUCCCCUCCUGCCAUCCUUUCUGCUGGUGUUCAACUCAACUCUAAAAGAGUGGCAGUGUACAAAAAUUGAACUUCAUUAAGAAGCUCUAAGUGACUUUACUUUUUUUCAUCACGUUUCAAGUAUGUUGUGCUUAAGACAAUGCAAUACAACGUAAUGGCAGUAUAUGUACAGAGCACAACACAGGAUGGUGCAAUAAUUAUAUAGUGUUCAUGUGUUUAAAAUUUUGGGAACUCUACAAAGAUUUAAUGUGGUUGAUGUUGCAAUAUACUGAUGCAGUUUGAUGAAUGUACUGAUGUGACUGGGAGCUGUUAUCUCAGUGAUGCAUUCUGACAACAAAAUUACUUCCUGUUGGUGAAAGCUUCCAGUAAAGCCCCUUUUUAUAUCAUCUAAAUUUAAGCAUACUUUUUAAAAGAGUAUCUGUUGCUAACAUAAUAUGUCCUCUAUUCCAAAUGAUUACAGUAUUUCUUCCUUUGAGAUGCCAAACUGGUAUCAGAAACAUCUUUCCUGUGAAUAGUGUGGUCUCAUUUCUCUUGUAUGCAUUAAUUGUUAAUCAGUCACUGUAGUGUGAAGUCUGAUAAACAAUUGUACUUUAUUGCUGCGAUUAAGAGCUAACAGAUCCUUUUAAUACACCUUGAGAAGGUAAAAAUUGCUUCACAGUAUCACGAUAGUGAUCUGUCUUGUCCAUUAUCCUAUUUCUGUAACAGUGCUUAAAAUCAAAGGCUGACAGGAAAAUGAAACAAUCCAUCUGUUCUAAUAUUACAAAGUGACAUGCUUCUUGGUAGAGGUUGGCAAGAGAAAUUUUAACACUGCUGGCUUAUAGCCAUUAAAAUGUGUGUACCGUUCUCCCUCUUCUUAUUGCCUUUUCAGUGUCCUUUAGAAAUAUACAGUCUGGUGUUUAUUUCUGUCAGGAUGCUGUUCCAAUAUUUUCAAACCCUAUCUUCUACAUUCUUGUCCACAAAUGGAAGGAAGGGCAAUGGUGUCUCAGGAAGUUCUCUUCUAACAAUUUUCAAAUUCAGUGCUCCAUUUUAAUGAGAAGAAUUCACUUGCAUUAUCUGAGUUACAUGUUAUUACUUCUCACUUUCAUUUUAAUUAGUGUCAUCUUAAUUAAUGUCUAUACUAUUUUAGUCCAUUUUUGGCCAAAGAUUGUACUUCUCAUCUCUCAGUACUUAUUUUCCUUAAUAGUCAUUCAUUUGGCACCUUGAGGAAGAAAUGUAUUUUUAAAUAAUUCUUUCAAUCCACGUUGCUUCAUGCUAGUAGCUGUCUUUCAAAGACAGCAUGUUAGUAAUGUAUUUCUAGAUGUGUUUUUUCUAACACUUGAUAAACAGGUGUAAUUGCCUCAUGACUUCCAUAAAUAGCAUGACUUCCAUAAAUAAAAAUAUUAAACUGUGACUUGUUCCA